AUCCCAGCUAAGUUGAUAAUAGUACUUAGCUGAUUCAUGGGAGGCCUAAAUUAAAUUUGCAAGUUUCGCUGAUAAUACCUUCUUUUUAAUAAACCCAGAAGGUGUUUUAUUAGUAACUCUGCUUACAUUU
rfam:Arabis alpina cultivar Pajares Aa.chr5_contig_3660, whole genome shotgun sequence.